rnacentral:rRNA from 1 species
UACGAAGUGUGCAAACGUUAUUCGGAAUCACUGGGCUUAAAGGGUGCGUAGGCGGCUUGUUAAGUUGGGGGUGAAAUCCCCCGGCUCAACCGGGGAAUUGCGCCCUAAACUGGCGAGCUGGAGUGAGAUAGGGGUGUGUGGAACUUCCAGUGGAGCGGUGAAAUGUGUUGAUAUUGGAAGGAACGCCAGUGGCGAAAGCGACACACUGGGUCUCAACUGACGCUGAGGCACGAAAGCCAGGGGAGCAAACGGG